UCCGUAGGUGAACCUGCGGAAGGAUCAUUAGUGAUUUGGCCGAAAGGCCUCUAAAUCCAAUCCUCUACACCUGUGAACUUGUCGGUGGGCCUGUGCCCGCCGGUCUUUACAACACUAUUGUCAUGAACGUGAAUGUAUUUAUAACAAAAACAAAACUUUCAACAACGGAUCUCUUGGCUCUCGCAUCGAUGAAGAACGCAGCGAAAUGCGAUAAGUAAUGUGAAUUGCAGAAUUCAGUGAAUCAUCGAAUCUUUGAACGCACCUUGCGCCUCUUGGUAUUCCGAGAGGCAUGCCUGUUUGAGUGUCAUGAAAUCUCAAUCCCCGAGGGUUUUUCUGGAACCCGCGGCGGACUUGGACUUGGGCGUCUGCCUCGCAAGGCUCGCCUCAAAUGACUUAGUGGUUGUCUUCUUGACUCAUGCCUGACGUAAUAAGUUUCGUCUCGGCCGGUCCUGAGGCCCGCUCAUAACCCCCACAAUCAUUUUGACAUUGACCUCAAAUCAGGUAGGGCUACCCGCUGAACUUAAGCAUAUCAAUAAGCGGAGGA
rnacentral:rRNA from 1 species